GGCGGCGUGCUUAACACAUGCAAGUCGAACGAUGAACCCCGCUUGCGGGGGGAUUAGUGGCGAACGGGUGAGUAACACGUGAGUAACCUGCCCUUAACUCUGGGAUAAGCCUUGGAAACGGGGUCUAAUACUGGAUAUUGACUUUUCCUCGCAUGGGGAUUGGUUGAAAGAUUUAUUGGUUUUGGAUGGACUCGCGGCCUAUCAGCUUGUUGGUGAGGUAAUGGCUCACCAAGGCGACGACGGGUAGCCGGCCUGAGAGGGUGACCGGCCACACUGGGACUGAGACACGGCCCAGACUCCUACGGGAGGCAGCAGUGGGGAAUAUUGCACAAUGGGCGAAAGCCUGAUGCAGCGACGCCGCGUGAGGGAUGACGGCCUUCGGGUUGUAAACCUCUUUCAGUAGGGAACAAGGCCAGUGUUUAGCUGGUUGAGGGUACUUGCAGAANAAGCGCCGGCUAACUACGUGCCAGCAGCCGCGGUAAUACGUAGGGCGCAAGCGUUAUCCGGAAUUAUUGGGCGUAAAGA
rnacentral:rRNA from 1 species